UACAGAGGUCUCAAGCGUUGUUCGGAUUCAUUGGGCGUAAAGGGUGUUGUAGGUGGCGCGCUAAGUCGGGUGUGAAAUUUCGGAGCUUAACUCCGAAACUGCAUUCGAUACUGCCGUGCUUGAGGACUGGAGAGGAGACUGGAAUUUACGGUGUAGCGGUGAAAUGCGUAGAUAUCGUAAGGAAGACCAGUGGCGAAGGCGGGUCUCUGGACAGUUCCUGACACUGAGGCACGAAGGCCAGGGGAGCAAACGGG
rnacentral:rRNA from 1 species